rnacentral:rRNA from 1 species
UCCUACGGGAGGCAGCAGUGGGGAAUAUUGCGCAAUGGGGGCAACCCUGACGCAGCCAUGCCGCGUGAAUGAAGAAGGCCUUCGGGUUGUAAAGUUCUUUCGGUGACGAGGAAGGUUGUUGUGUUAAUAGCACAACAAAUUGACGUUAAUCACAGAAGAAGCACCGGCUAACUCCGUGCCAGCAGCCGCGGUAAUACGGAGGGUGCGAGCGUUAAUCGGAAUAACUGGGCGUAAAGGGCACGCAGGCGGCUAUUUAAGUGAGGUGUGAAAGCCCCGGGCUUAACCUGGGAAUUGCAUUUCAGACUGGGUAGCUAGAGUACUUUAGGGAGGGGUAGAAUUCCACGUGUAGCGGUGAAAUGCGUAGAGAUGUGGAGGAAUACCGAAGGCGAAGGCAGCCCCUUGGGAAUGUACUGACGCUCAUGUGCGAAAGCGUGGGGAGCAAACAGGAUUAGAUACCCUGGUAGUCCACGCUGUAAACGCUGUCGAUUUGGGGAUUGGGCUUUAAGCUUGGUGCCCGUAGCUAACGUGAUAAAUCGACCGCCUGGGGAGUACGGCCGCAAGGUUAAAACUCAAAUGAAUUGACGGGGGCCCGCACAAGCGGUGGAGCAUGUGGUUUAAUUCGAUGCAACGCGAAGAACCUUACCUACUCUUGACAUCCAUGGAAUCCUGUAGAGAUACGGGAGUGCCUUCGGGAACCAUGAGACAGGUGCUGCAUGGCUGUCGUCAGCUCGUGUUGUGAAAUGUUGGGUUAAGUCCCGCAACGAGCGCAACCCUUAUCCUUUGUUGCCAGCGAUUCGGUCGGGAACUCAAAGGAGACUGCCGGUGA